AAAAAUACCGACAGAAAAAAUCAGAGCAUUGAGCAAUGGAAUUCCCAAAUCAAAGAACCACCAUCACCGUCAUCAUGAUCAGAGGGACGAUGAAGAAAGACAGAGUUACCCGCCACCGGGAACUACGCUGUCUCCCUUUGAUCAACCUCCACCUCCUCCAAGACCUUACCACUAUGGAGAGGAUCAACCUCCACCUCCUCCAAAACCUUACUACUAUCGAGACGAUCAACCUCCACCUCCUCCAAGGCCUUACUACUAUGGAGAGGAUCAACAUCCACCACCACCACCACCUUCCUGCUACAGAGAAGAUCAACCACCACCGAAUUCAUACUACGAAGCAGAUAGACCACCACCGAUCCGUGUGAGCCAUGUGUCCCACUCUUCCCAUGGUUAUGCACCUCCAAGUCCACCCUCCCAAUCCCAAGGGCUUCUCCACCACCAACCACCAGCGCCACCAGUACAGAAUUACGACUACCCAUCGUCACAAGCUACUCCAAGCCCACGGCCUGUUACCGUGCACCAUGUUGCUCAUCAAGUUCACCAUGAAUCCCCUGCUCCUCAGUUUGGAACUGAAACCCAUCACAC
rnacentral:lncRNA from 1 species